CCGCCCACAAGCGAGGACGCGUCGGCUUCAGAGUGCCGCGCUGCCACCGACCACACAAAGACGACCCGAAAGCGCAGUAAAGGUAGGGAAGUCGAAUCGCCCAUUCCGUUACAGCCACAACAGGCACAGUCACAAAGCAUCCCUCAAAGAUAAGGUAAAAUUCAUCGCUAGACUCAUGACUGAGACCGCCGGGAACGUUGCCCUGCCUGGUAGAGCCGCUCACACACUGUUCAAGGCGCCAGAGGCGACGUGAUUCGAAGCAACUCUUGAGAAGGCAGCCUGCGCGUCGCCCGAGCAUUGCCCUCGCUCGGACGUGCUUAUCAAAGAGCCCGCCUCGAAGGAUGCAUGCAGCCCCGCUGCGCCCUCCCUCCACCCCGCCCUGUGACGUCGACCAGCACCCGGCGAAAAAGUCCCUUCAGCGAGUCGCCUCGCGACGACUGCGCCGUCAUUCUGCGAGACAGGCUCCAGCCGCGCCCGUACAGCCUCCGUCCUCACCCCGCUCAG
rnacentral:misc_RNA from 1 species